AUACUUACCUGGCAGGGGAGAUACCAUGAUCACGAAGGUGGUUUUCCCAGGGUGAGGCUUAUCUAUUGCACUCCAGAUGUGCUGACCCCUGCAAUUUCCCCAAAUGCGGGAAACUCGACUGCAUAAUUUGUGGUAGUGGGGGACUGCAUUCACACUCUCCCCUA
rnacentral:snRNA from 1 species